rnacentral:lncRNA from 1 species
ACCGAUCAGGUUUAUCUGCUUCCCCUCCGCGUGUUCACCCGGCGAGAGCAGCGUCGCUGAACUGAUUUCCUUUUUCCCUGAGCGAAGCUCGGAUUCUGUUGCAACUAACCGGAUCACUCGCCUACCGUGCUAAUCGCUUGCGGGCCGGCUCCCCUAGACUUAGAACCCAGUAGCCUUAUAAAACCGAGCCAUCCCUUUUCGCUUAUGUCUUGUCCGCCAUUAUCGAGAGCAGAGGAAUUUGAGCGAUGCCGCCAACAUUGAUUUCGGGCUGCGUUCGGGUUGGGGCCACGGUGUACUGCCAGGGCGCUUCGCCAGGGCACAAUGACUGUGGCCGUGGCACCGGUACUAGGAAAAGAGCAUCAGAAGUCCUAUUAUCCCUCAUUGGAGUUAGAGCUCCGCCGCGGACCCAAAUAUCGCCGUGGUCUGGGUUCUGUGCUGCGUAACUCCCGGUGAGAACACUAUCUCAUUCCCUGCCUUCAUCUUUGCUCCGUGUAUCGUCCUUUGGGUUAGAGUUUUGGACCUAGGUUCAAAACUGGGGGUGGGGCCAUUGAUGGCGCCGCAGCUGCGGUACUCCCUGCCGCCGUGCUUGCUCCGGGGGGAGGAAGAACGACUCCUUGCUGUUCGAUCUGAAUGGACGGUCAGGAUUAAUUCUAGGCAUACUGCUUCUAGGUUAAUCAUGGGUCGUUGGAUCGUGACAAUGCGCCAAGAUUAGAGCAGGCAGUAACAGUUCGGGUCCAUCCCUGUGCGUCGUAGGAUCGAGAUCUGAUGGUCUUCGGUGCAUACCGGUUGGAUGCGGAUUGAUUUAAAUCUAGUCCACCCAUAUGUGAUCGGACGACUAAUAAUAAACAAUACCCCGUCGUCGUGGCCUAUUUGCUAAAGAGACCUUGUAUUCUUCUCUAAUUAACCCACAGUCCAUCUUUAUAUAAAGAUCAUUCCACUUAGGUCCUGAAAAUUGUGUUUUCAACCCCGAACUCAUUGGAUAUUGUGGCCACUGCCCAAUAAUUAAUAGAAUAGGCUGAAUUAAUAAAUAAAAUGGAUUUUUGUAUAAAAGUAAAUGCUAGAACUUGUUUAAUUCAUAUAAAAUUCAUAUGAAGUCCAAAUUAAUCCAUUCCAGCUUCUAUAAUUUUGUAAUAUUAUUGUUUAUCACCUAGUGUCUCUGUUUUGACAUGAAAACCAUAUUAAAAUGUAACUCUUAAUUAAUCUUGUAUCAAAUACAUAAAACCUUCAGAAAUUCAUAACUCUUUCGUUUUAAUUCCGAAUUGACUCGUUCCAAUUGCGUUAGUUUCGUAUAAGUAUUUACUACGCAGCAAUAACAUUUAUUAUACCAUAUUGCAUAAUUUAAUAGUUAGAUAGUUAUUUAUCCUAUGUCUACUAGAUUAGCUCUUCUAAAUCAAAACUAACCUGACCAUAAUUAUACUGGGGUUAAAACAUGAUCCUUAGUUAAGUAUAAUCUAGAUUAAAGUUGAAUUGAUUAUUUAGGGUAUAUUUCCUCAUAUGAUGUAAAAUAAUCAAUUUAUAAUUUAAUAUUCCAACCACGUAGAUCUUCCAUAGAUCAUAACUCCUUAACCAUGACUCUGAUCUUAGUAGUUCUCGAUCCCACGAUCGCGUAGCUUCGCGUAGAUCAUUAUUAUGCAGUUUGUUCUUAUGUAUGGUGUAAUGUUAAUUUUGUCUAUACCAUGUUUGUUUGUAUUGCUACGACUAGCGCGAGGUUCCGAGGAUCUGAAGAAUCACCCUGGUAACUGGAAUCUCAAGUGCCAGGCAAGUUGUGCACUUGAUCCACUUUUGUUACCCAAAAAUAUUCUUUUAUAUCAAUAUUCAAUGCAUAGGUUUAAUUUUGAUGGGACCCAAUAGGUCACCCUAGUCUGUUUAUCAUUUUACCCUUGUUUACCCCUGAAUCAGUUGGGUAGUUCUGCUAUUGCUUUAUAUGGUUUUGGGAUUAAUAUUUCAUUAUAUCCAUGUUCCAAUUAUUCUGUUAUUUUACUUGUGUUCAUGUCAAGAUCAUUAAAUGUUAAUUGGAACAUGGAGCUUAACUUGAGAAACACGUGCCACCACAAGGGUUUAAUGGGACGCCCUUGGCCAACUAACUAGGAAAGCUAGUGGAAGACUACCUUACCCGAAAGGGGCAAGGGCAGUAGGGGAGUUGCAUGCAAGGAGGUUCUCGGGUUGAUUUUGCUGCGAUGGCGGUCAGACGGGGGAUUCUUGCAAGUGCUCUUCCCAUAAACUGUAGUGUGUUUUCAGAAGCUAGUGGAACUUUGUAAAGGCCUCGUAGUGGAUCCCUAGCCAUUCACCUCGGUAGUGUCUAAGGGCCUUGCAAACCCUGGCGACAUGGGAUACACGACUUGUGGGUACAGGGUACAACCUCUACAGAGUGUAAAACUUGUAUACUAGCCGAGCUCACGGUCAUGAGCAGCUCAGGACUCUCACAUGAUUAAAUUAUGAAACUUAAACUCAAUUUGUCAUUUCCAUUGCAUGGGAUUUUGUUAUUAAUUUUGUUCUAUUAUUAAUUAUUAUGGUUUGGUAUUUACUUACACUUAGUAACUGCUAAUAAAAUUUUGACCAACUUAUAAAAGCAAUGCUCAGCUUCAACCUUUAUUUGUUGAUCAGCCUUACACUUCACAUGAACCCCCACCUUUUGUGAGUUCAUGCACAUUAUUCCCCACAACUUGUUAAGCGAUGAACAUGUGUGAGCUCACCCUUGCUGUCUCACACCCCCCACAGGACAAGAACAGGUGGUUCAAGUGAAGCCACACAACGAGGAGUUCGAUUCGAUCUAGGUGACGUCUCCCAGUCGACUUUCUGGCGCCAAGGAUGGAUUUUAGUUCGAUCCAUAUUUAUAUUCUAUUUUGUAAGACUUCCGCUAUGUAAUAAGUACUCUAAUUAUAUUGUGACAUUUAUCUCUA